rnacentral:tRNA from 1 species
CAGGACGUGGGGAAGUCUGGCAUCCCGCGUGUUUUGGAACCACGAGAUCGCUGGUUCGAAUCCAGCCGUCCUGACUA